CUCAUGAUGAACGCUAGCUACAGGCUUAACACAUGCAAGUCGAGGGGCAGCAUGGUCUUAGCUUGCUAAGGCCGAUGGCGACCGGCGCACGGGUGAGUAACACGUAUCCAACCUGCCGUCUACUCUUGGACAGCCUUCUGAAAGGAAGAUUAAUACAAGAUGGCAUCAUGAGUCCGCAUGUUCACAUGAUUAAAGGUAUUCCGGUAGACGAUGGGGAUGCGUUCCAUUAGAUAGUAGGCGGGGUAACGGCCCACCUAGUCUUCGAUGGAUAGGGGUUCUGAGAGGAAGGUCCCCCACAUUGGAACUGAGACACGGUCCAAACUCCUACGGGAGGCAGCAGUGAGGAAUAUUGGUCAAUGGGCGAGAGCCUGAACCAGCCAAGUAGCGUGAAGGAUGACUGCCCUAUGGGUUGUAAACUUCUUUUAUAAAGGAAUAAAGUCGGGUAUGGAUACCCGUUUGCAUGUACUUUAUGAAUAAGGAUCGGCUAACUCCGUGCCAGCAGCCGCGGUAAUACGGAGGAUCCGAGCGUUAUCCGGAUUUAUUGGGUUUAAAGGGAGCGUAGAUGGAUGUUUAAGUCAGUUGUGAAAGUUUGCGGCUCAACCGUAAAAUUGCAGUUGAUACUGGAUAUCUUGAGUGCAGUUGAGGCAGGCGGAAUUCGUGGUGUAGCGGUGAAAUGCUUAGAUAUCACGAAGAACUCCGAUUGCGAAGGCAGCCUGCUAAGCUGCAACUGACAUUGAGGCUCGAAAGUGUGGGUAUCAAACAGGAUUAGAUACCCUGGUAGUCCACACGGUAAACGAUGAAUACUCGCUGUUUGCGAUAUACAGCAAGCGGCCAAGCGAAAGCGUUAAGUAUUCCACCUGGGGAGUACGCCGGCAACGGUGAAACUCAAAGGAAUUGACGGGGGCCCGCACAAGCGGAGGAACAUGUGGUUUAAUUCGAUGAUACGCGAGGAACCUUACCCGGGCUUAAAUUGCAGAUGAAUUACGGUGAAAGCCGUAAGCCGCAAGGCAUCUGUGAAGGUGCUGCAUGGUUGUCGUCAGCUCGUGCCGUGAGGUGUCGGCUUAAGUGCCAUAACGAGCGCAACCCUUGUUGUCAGUUACUAACAGGUUCCGCUGAGGACUCUGACAAGACUGCCAUCGUAAGAUGUGAGGAAGGUGGGGAUGACGUCAAAUCAGCACGGCCCUUACGUCCGGGGCUACACACGUGUUACAAUGGGGGGUACAGAGGGCCGCUACCACGCGAGUGGAUGCCAAUCCCCAAAACCUCUCUCAGUUCGGACUGGAGUCUGCAACCCGACUCCACGAAGCUGGAUUCGCUAGUAAUCGCGCAUCAGCCACGGCGCGGUGAAUACGUUCCCGGGCCUUGUACACACCGCCCGUCAAGCCAUGGGAGCCGGGGGUACCUGAAGUGCGUAACCGCGAGGAGCGCCCUAGGGUA
rnacentral:rRNA from 1 species